AGCCAUCACCCCCCCCCUCCCUCCCUCCCUCCCUCAGAGACAGCAUGCAUUUCAGUGGAUACCACAGACACCGCCAUAGAUACCACCAUAAAUACCAUAGAGUUCACCUCACAGCAUCACUUCUCCUGGGCAUCGCGGCAUAGACCGGGGGAAGAACACUCCCCUGCUUCCGCCGUCCAGACAGCGAUGGGACCUCGCAGCACGCGUUCGCGGGGAAGCCUGACAGUCGGCUGUGCGGUAUGAAUAAAUGUGAGCAGAUGUUUUUUUUUAGAGACGAAGACGCCGAAUUCGCCCUCCCCAACCGUCUCCGGCGCUUUGAAGCUCGCCGGAGGGUACGGACGAUGACGAGACCACAUAGACACGAAGGAAGAGCGGGGAGCAAACUCUCAAAAAACCCCACCCGAGGGAGGAAAAGCCGGGGUUUGAACCCGCAACAUUUUGUUGCGCAGAAAGCUGCUACAAAGGUGACAGUUUUGUGGGAUAUGUAGUCAAUAACGCGUCGCGAUUGGUGAAGCCGGCGAGACGGUGGACUUCAUUUCCCGAGUAAACCAUCGUCGAAGGACAUGCGGUGGCCAUCUGCAACUCGUAAAUAUACUUCCGCCUGCAGUGCUGCAGAAAGCUUGUCUGCAGAAGCAGGAAGUCCCCAGAUGGAGGCGCUGUCACUACGGACAAAAGCUGCGCAAACUGAAGGGACGAACGGGGAUUCGAACCCUGAAGCUCAGCGUUCCAAGCUUUGGACAAUACCUUUACGCCACCGUCAUGUUAGCGGUUGCGCGGCUGCAGAAAUGGCCUGAUGAUGAGACAACCCAAGUAUAAGCGAAACAAAGACGAAGGGGGGUUCGAACCCCCAACCUCUGCGUCCGUAGGCAAAGACAAUACCGCUGCGCCACCUUCUCUUCUGUGAAUCGGCCGGCUUUUCUGUGGGUAGAAGAAGAUGACACAACAGAAAUAUUUACAAAAAAAUCUCAGAAAUUUUGCCUUCAUCUACUAACUUCGGACCUGAAGGUGAUGAACCUUGUUACCUAUGUCUUACAGCUGGUUCUUAGAGCCACAGCAGAGGGGGACUGAACUUACUAUCUUGGGAUUCGUGGAACAGGGUACUCUGUCUUGCACCACGAAGCCCUUCAAGAAUUCCUGGGUGUUCAUUAGUGAACUUAUUCGCAGACCGAUAAGAAUUAAACAGGAAGAGCUCAGCUUUGAAUAGCAGAGAUCCAGAUUAGGUGCUCUCCUAAAAUGAACUCUACGAAACUGUGGAAAAAUAUAAACUGACACCCUAAUAUAUUUUGGCUUAUUUAAAUAAAGCUUUUGAUUCAUUGGACUUCCCUUGAAUUUGCGAUUUAUGAUUAGAACAGGUGACUGACAAGUCCCAUUCAAACAGAUGACCUAAUUAAAUGUGUAAUGGUGUUGCAUCUUAUAGGUGUGCCUGAAAGUGAUUAGUUGGUUACAUUUUUUAUGCCUUUGAAUGUUUUCUUUUACAAGGAUGAAAAAUGUAAUCUAGCCAGUAAUGUACUAUGGAGAACAGUCAUUCUGUUUUUAUAAAGUGCAGUGGAUAUGUAUUGGGGGACAGGGCUUGUAAAUGCAUUUUAUUUUCUUUUUAAUAAUGAAAUAAAAUUAAUUGUGUUUUGUAAUUUUAUUCUGCAAUUACGUUUCAUUCUUGAAAGUUGUGCUGCCAUUGCUGAAUAAAAAUAAUGCACAAUAAGAACAGUGA